rnacentral:rRNA from 1 species
CACGUAGGGCGCGAGCGUUGUCCGGAAUUAUUGGGCGUAAAGAGCUCGUAGGCGGCCUGUUGCGUCCGCUGUGAAAGCCCGGGGCUUAACCCCGGGUCUGCAGUGGAUACGGGCAGGCUAGAGGUAGGUAGGGGAGAAUGGAAUUCCCGGUGUAGCGGUGAAAUGCGCAGAUAUCGGGAGGAACACCGGUGGCGAAGGCGGCAUCCUGGACCGGUAUUGACGCUGAGGCGCGAAAGCUAGGGGAGCAAACGGG